UUGAAAUGCAGAGUCUGAUCC
rnacentral:miRNA from 1 species